rnacentral:rRNA from 1 species
AUACGAAGGUCCCGAGCGUUAUUCGGAAUCACUGGGCGUAAAGAGUAUGUAGGCGGUUUGGUAAGUCAGGUGUGAAAUCCCGGAGCUCAACUUCGGAACUGCAUCCGAUACUGCCAGACUUGAGUAAUGGAGAGGCAGGUGGAAUUCUCGGUGUAGCAGUGAAAUGCGUGGAUAUCGAGAGGAAGACCAAUGGCGAAGGCAGCCUGCUGGACAUUUACUGACGCUGAGGUACGAAGGCUAGGGGAGCGAAAGGGAUUAGAUACCCUUGUAGUCC